rnacentral:lncRNA from 1 species
AAUGAUCACAAGUUCUACCCUCUUUAUCAUCAUCUCAAAAAUCAAUCUAAACCCCUCACAUCACUCACCCAAUGUACAACUCUCUUCCUUUUUUAUUUUUUUCAUUUUUAUUUGACCCACUCACUAGGGAUUUUAAUCCACUUUCCACAAGCUCUAACCCUUUUUUUUUUUUUUUUCAUUUCCUUCCCCAACUUCUUUUUGAUCUUUUUUUUUUUUAGGAGGAAGGUUCUUUGUUGCAUAAUCAAGAGCUUCUUAUUAUUAUUAUUUUUUUAUAUAUAUAUCCCUAGGAGCUUUAUUUUCAUAUCUCUCAUUUUUUUUUUCACUCUCCAAACCCAAGAUAUUGAAAUUUAAAACACACAAACCCCUC